rnacentral:rRNA from 1 species
AGGAGGCAGCAGUGGGGAAUAUUGGACAAUGCCCGCAAGGGUGAUCCAGCCAUGCCGCGUGCAGGAAGACGGCCCUAUGGGUUGUAAACUGCUUUUACACCGGAGAAAACCUCCCCUCGUGAGGGGAGCUGAUAGUAUGGUGAGAAUAAGCAUCGGCUAACUUCGUGCCAGCAGCCGCGGUAAGACGAAGGAAGCAAGCGUUAUCCGGAUUCAUUGGGUUUAAAGGGAGCGUAGGUGGCCUUAUAAGUCAGUGGUGAAAUCUCUGGGCUUAACCCAGAAAUUGCCAUUGAUACUGUAGGGCUUGAGUACAGUUGCUGUGGGCGGAAUAUGACAUGUAGUGGUGAAAUACAUAGAGAUGUCAUAGAACACUGAUUGCGAAGGCAGCUCACAAAACUGUAACUGACACUGAGGCUCGAAAGUGCGGGGAUCAAACAGGAUUAGAUACCCCUGUAGUCC